rnacentral:rRNA from 1 species
GAUGAACGCUGGCGGUGCGCCUAAUACAUGCAAGUCGAACGAGAAGUUUAAAAAGUUUACUUUUUAAAUAGACAGUGGCGGACGAGUGAGUAACACGUAAGAACCUGCCCCGUACUCAGGGAUAACACAGCGAAAGUUGUGCUAAUACCGGAUAGUCUCGAAAGAGUAAAGAUUUUUCGGUACGGGAGGGGCUUGCGGCCUAUCAGCUUGUUGGUAAGGUAAAAGCUUACCAAGGCUAUGACGGGUAACUGGUCUGAGAGGAUGACCAGUCACGAUGGGACUGAGACACGGCCCAUACUCCUACGGGAGGCAGCAGUAAGGAAUCUUCCGCAAUGGACGAAAGUCUGACGGAGCGACACCGCGUGGUGGAUGAAGGCCCUAUGGGUUGUAAACACCUUUUAUGAGGGAAGAAGUUCUGACGGUACCUCAUGAAUAAGCCCCGGCUAAUUACG